rnacentral:lncRNA from 1 species
AAGUAUUAAUUACACUACCAUUUUAAGCAUAUGUCUUGUAUAUCUAUACUAUACUAUAUAUAAAAGCACGUAUAUUCAAAUUUGGGUCUGUCGACAGACCCAUUUUUCUGCGGAAAAAUUAGCGCCCAUUUUUCUCUUUCCGUACGAAAAAUUUUAAAUAUAAGAAUAAAAAUAGAAAUAGAACAGCAAUGAAUACGUAAGUUCUCUAUAACAGAUUACUGAUGUGAAAAUCCUAAAAUAUAAAUUUUUCUAUUUAAUUUCAAAAGUAAGUUUUCUAUAACAGAUUACGGAUGUGAAAAUCCUAUAAAAAGAUAUUUUUCCAUUUUAUUUUAAAAUAUCUUUUUAGAUAUUAUCUAUUUAAUUUCAAAAUAUAUUUUCUUUUUAAGAUAACGGAUUUUAUUUUUCUAUUUAAUUUCAAAAUUUAUUUGAAUUAUACAUCAUUUUGAUUAGACUAUCUAAUCUUUUAAAAUUUUAAUUUUAGCACCCAACCUUUUAAUUAAUUUGUUUGAUUAAAGUGACUUGAUGACUCGUUGGUUAUAAAAUUUA